rnacentral:rRNA from 1 species
GACGAACGCUGGCGGCGUGCUUAACACAUGCAAGUCGAACGGUGAAGCGCUUGCCUUUUUGGUGGGUGUGGAUGAGUGGCGAACGGGUGAGUAACACGUGAGUAACCUGCCCUCUUCUUCUGGAUAACCUCAUGAAAGUGGGGCUAAUACGGGGUAUUCCGGGUCUGUCGCAUGGCGGGUUUGGGAAAGAUUGCGCCUUUGGGUGUUUUCGGUGGGGGAUGGGCUCGCGGCCUAUCAGCUUGUUGGUGGGGUGAUGGCCUACCAAGGCGGUGACGGGUAGCCGGCCUGAGAGGGUGGACGGCCACACUGGGACUGAGACACGGCCCAGACGCCUGCGGGAGGCAGCAGUGGGGAAUAUUGCACAAUGGGCGCAAGCCUGAUGCAGCGACGCCGCGUGAGGGAUGGAGGCCUUCGGGUUGUGAACCUCUUUCGCCAGUGAAGCAGGCCUGCUCCUGUGUGGGUGGGUUGACGGUAGCUGGAGAAGAAGCGCCGGCUAACUACGUG